UAUAUAUAUAUAUAUAUAUAUAUAUAUAUAUAUAUAUAUAUACACACACACACACACACAUUUUUUUCUUUAAUAUAUCCACCCCACCCCUUCCAUUCUUGUAUUUCUGAAUUUUAUGCAUGCUGUAUUUUUUUUUUCUACACAAUUAUAUGCUGCUCAUAUCUAAUUGAUAUCUCAUAUCUCAAAUCUAAUCUUAUUGAACAUUUCGUUUAUCUAUUUACAUUUAUAGAUUUUGUGUGGUACCAUGUAGACCAGUUUUAUCUUACUUUCUGUUGUUUAUCUUUUGAAUUUGUUGUCACCAUCAUUGAAGUACAUUAGAUGUAUUUAAUUGACAGAUGUGCCAUCUUUUCAGAAAAGAAUAUGAUCUGCCAUGAAUAGGUUUAAUAAACAACAAUAUUUUUUAUAUGUAUUUGCUCUGAAAUCUUUAUUUUUUGGGAGAUAAAAUGUUUAGAAUAAAAACUUUAAAAUGUGAAGAAGAUUUUUAUGUACUAAACCUAUAUGAAGACACAUUUAACUGGGUGAGUGGAGGGCCCUACGAAUCUGCCAUUAUAUAUCUUUGAAAACAGGUGAUAGGUUAAGGCAAAGGGGUCAUAAAAGAGCAUGAGAGAGGACUUGAGGAUGCAAUGAGAACCAUCUGUGUCAGAAAGGCAUGAAAUGUAUACAACACAUGUUGAAACUGUCAUGUAUAUUUAAAAAGACACAUACUGUAUGGGAGAGAAGAGUCCAGUUUAUAUGUUUGAAACAUAGAUACUAGUCAUGAUUACCAAAUGUGAACUGUAUGUGGAAAAACGGUGAUGAUUAUAUUAGAUCUGUAAAUUAUAAGGGCCAACAAGAAGAGGGGUCUUUAAAUCGGGGUCGUAAAAGAGUAGGAGCUGGGAGAGGCCUGUUGAACCAGUAAACAGCUGUGAAAACACAAAGGUGGGAGGAAGCAAGGAUAAAGGGGAUAGCAAAUUUGAGGGACACUGGAUUUGUCCUGGAGUGAGACUAGAGAUGGGUCUGCUCCAGGCUGUCUCUGCUUUUUUGGGAAAUAUUCCAAUAAAGUAUAUUCUUCUGAUAUUCAUAACCCCAGUCUGAGCUUGAUUCAUUAAGAGAAAAGCCAGAAACCACAACAAAUGGCGUCCCUGGAGGGCUGGAAAGGAGCAGGACUGGUGUUGCUGUACAUGCUGGACUGGAGAGAAAACACAAAUAUGUGGCCACAAUAAAAAAUGGUAAGCGAUUUUAUGCUUAUUAGUUUGUGUUUUUUCUGCCAGGACCUGCUUGUAACGGUAAAGAAACUUGAACUGUUUCUCCAGCUUUAAAGAACUAAAAGUAAAAGUAAACAUAAAAAGAUAUUAAAAGAAAUAAGGGGUUUUGAAUAACAUAAGAAAAAGAGUAAUUUGCAUGCAAAUGAUCUGUGUUUUCCUAAGAGGGCCUUGACGGAUAGGAUAAACAUUAACUAGUAACUGUUACCCAGAUUCGGGAAAUUAUUAAUGAUGUAGGAUAUGCACAGAGCAUUUAUAAUUUUAAGAGAGAGUCUUUAAUGUGCGGUGACAGUUAAGAGAUUAAAGCAGAUUAAGUUUAAGUAGAGAGAUGCGCGCAAAGUCCUACGAUACUGCUCUGUUAAAGGUAAAGCAGAGGGCUGCAUGGGUAGGCAAAAAUCCUGUGGUUACCGCUCUAAGGUUAGAGGCUGCUCGGACAGGUCACUCAAGAGGAGUGUAGUGUAGUGUAUUUAUUCAAUUGUAUGUGUUUGUGUAUUUGCUGCUUCAGGUUGAGGCAAAAUAGUCCAUAUUGGUGUGCAGAGAAGGCUCCCUUCCUCCUCCUUGACUGGAACGAGGAUAGGGGGAUGCAGCUCAUGUUACACUGAGUGGAGGAGAGGAGUGAAUGAGAAGAGAAAAAUAAUAAGAGUAAAAGUGUGAAUGUGUUUAAAAGUAUGUUUUCAAUAAAGAGAAGGUUAAAAUAAUGAUGAUAGUAGAUUAUAAUAUAAAAGGAGGGCUGCAAAUUUGUGAUGUGAUUUAAAGAGCAAUAAGAAUAGUUAUUGAUGCAGAUCAGGGAAGAGAUUAUGAUAUAAAGGAGGAGUCUCCUAAACCAAAACUAAUGGAACAUAUUGCAUUCAAAGGACACAGACUGAAGGCAGAAGUAUAUACUAGUUAAACAUUUUUCUGAAAAUGAUCUUUGUGUUUUAAGUUGUGUUUAUGUUAAAAAAAGAACAAUGAGUGCACUGAAGCAGAGUCGACUGAAAUUCCUGACAUAGCAACAGGUGGAAGACAGUCUGCCCAAGGAUGGGGGUAAGAGAGAGAUUUAUGGUGUCCAUGUGUGAACAGUAAAAGAGAAUAUCAAACUAUUAUAUAAAAUAAAAAGAUAGACUUUAACAUAAUCAUAAUGGGUAUAAUAUAAGUUAUUAAAUGAAGAGACAUAUUACAAAGUGCUACAGCAAGAUAGUUGAAAUAGGGAAAUACCAAUAAUAGAGUAAGAUAUAAUUAAUUGUGUUAUAUUAUAGAAAAUGGAACUAAAAUAAAUUCAUUAAAAGCUAUACUAAUUAACUAAUGAAGCCAUAGUUUAUAAAUAUAUGGAGAUAAAGAGAGUAUGAAGUAAAAUAAUAGAUUAAUAAAUAAAUAGAUUUACUAAGCAAGUAUGAAUAAAUAUUAGAUAAGUUAGUUAUUUGACAAAGAUAAAAAUGAGAAAGGAAAACUGAAGAUUUAAGGAUAACGUGUGUAAAAUAAAAUAAAUUUAAAAAGGUUAAAAUGUAUAAGUAAACCUAAGAGCUAAAAAUGCAAAUUAGGGAAAGGAAAAAAAGAAUAGAAAUAGAAAAAAAUAAGUCCAAACACUGUUUAAUAGAGAAAAAAUGAGAUGAUUAAAAAUGUAGAAAAUGUUUCAAAUAUAGGUAUAUUAACAGAAUAGAUAAUAAAAACUAGAAAAAUCAGUAACAUUCGGAAGAAACUAAGGUUUGCUUUUAGAGGAUUAGUUUAUAUUUAAGGGCAAUAAAAAAUGUUUUGUCAUCAUUAUCAAAGUCAGCUACAUAUUAUCUGAGCCAUCAUCUAUUUGUAGUAAAGCACAGUGAUUCAGAUGAAAAUCAUAGAAGCUGGGUAAAUGUUAAAGAACAUGAUGGAGUGAGUUAAAAAGUUAUUUUUUUUUAAAAAAGCAGUAAGGAGCUAAACUGAUAAUUAAGCAUUGCAUUUUAAAAAUGAAAAAUGGUUCUAGUAAGCAAACAUGUGGGUUAAAUUAAUACUAUGAACCCUAAGCUAUAGCAGUAAUGAUUUUGAACAGUUAUACCAGAUAUUAGGCCACCAUGUAGUACUGUUUAAUUAAAACAGAUCUGGAAAUGAGAAAUAAAAUAUUCAAAUAUGUGGCAGAGAAUAUAAAAUAUAAAAAAUGACAAAUGGCAAAAGGAAGGAACAUUUGAUGCAGGCAUAGGGAAAAUAGAAACUGAGUAUGGAAAAUGUUAGGGAAAUUAAAAAAUCUAAAGAAACACUAGUAUAGAUAAGCAAAAAUGCACAAUCUGAAGCUAAAGAAAUUAAUUAGAAUAACACUAAAUAAAUAGAAAAUUAUAUCAUAUUUACAUAUGAUAAUAAUUACUGGAGGAAAAAUAAGCUGAUAACAAAAAGAUAAUAGAUGGAAGGAGUCUUCAUUUGAUGGAGAAAAUAUGGGAAAAAGGAAAAAGACUUUUAUUAAGUCAUGGGCUAAAUUCCAUAUAUUAAUUAAGAGGAUAUAGGGAUGGACUUUGGUGGACUGUAGUCUUGUACCUACCAGACAUCUCUGAGUGCACUGGCAAAUAGGAAAGGUGGUUGAGAAACACAAUGGACAAACUGUUGGCUGUGGACAUUUGUGAAAGCAGUGAGGCAUUCACUGCACGCCCAGGAUUUACUGAGGACUGAAAAGGCUACUGAUGUUCAGAGACACUAAAAAGAGUCAAACAAGAGAAUAAUGAACUGAUCAAAACAAGAAAAAGUGCACCAUCAGAACUUUACAUCAGCUAAAUGAAAGAAAAGAAGCCAGAACUAAGAGAGAGGGGGAAAACACUGUGCCCUGAUAAGGAAAAAUGUGUUGAGUCUGGACACCACAGAAAAGACUCCAGAGCCAAUCUAUGAACCAGCUGUCUUCUCAGGGUGCGAGGAGGGAGAGUCUGGCAGUCCAUCUCAAAGCAGUCGAACUAUAGUUCAAAUUGAGUAUAAUGUGACCACUCAGAAGGAAAAUUAAGAGCAAAAGUGUACCUACCCAUUCUUGUCUCAAAUCAGACUCCUGCCAAUUUGAUAGAGAAAUAUCGUGUAAAUUGAAGAAAAGUGUUAUAUGAAAAUAUACGAUGAAAAUUUAAAUGUGUAAUGUUGAAAUUAUAAAUUAUGAUGAAUGUUAAAUAAUUUGGUUAAUUUUCAUAGGUUUAAUCAUAGAGAUCCUUGAACAUAGAAGGAUAAAGUACAAUGCAUGGUGGUGACUAAAAAAAAAAGACAGCUUUUGAUAGCUGAAGAAAUAAUUUGGAUUAGAAAUUUUUAUGGAAUUAAAUAUUUAAGUAAAAAUUAAAGAAAUAUCUUAGCAUAAUCCUAUUUUGAGUAAUCUAAACCAAGAUUUGAGAGAAAAAUUAUGUAAGAGAUUAAGACAGAGAAAAGUGUUUAUACUUAAAGAAGAGAUUAGAACAAAAAAAAAAUGAAAUGAACAGGUUGGGUACAAUAUAGGUAAAAAAGUGACAAUUCUAAAUGUACUAAAAGAAUAAUUGAAAGAGAAAAGUGUUUAAGGGAACAGAUUUUGUUUCACAAAUAAUCAUAUGUGAAGAAAUUAUUCAAAGCAAAAAGGAAUAAGGACUAAAGAUGAAAAACCAGAACAGAUAGAGAAGAACCUAUAAAGAAAUAGGUAGUUUUAACUUGUAACAAUUACAACAAAAAUGUAUGCACAAGCAGCAUGAUGUGAGAGCGGGAAGGAAUUAGGAGCUGAUAACACAAAUCAAUAUAAGAUGCAAAUUAAGAAAUAUCUCAGAAAGAAAAUUAUUUAGGGUAAAUAAUGAUUAUCAGUUCAAGACGUAGAGGUAGAAAAAAUUAGCCGGCAUAGUGAGGAUUAAAAUUAAACCUGAUGCAGGUUUGCUCAGAGAAACACUAGACGCUGAAACUGUUAUAAAAACAUGAAUGGAUUUUAUUUGAAUUUGAUUUAAAUUAAAUUUUUGAUUAUGGCAUUAGUCAAAACAGACAAAAGUAAAUUUUGUGUAGUUUAUGAUUUAAGCGCAAUCAGUGAUAGAGGAUUUUUCAGCAGAGAUUCCCAACACACUGUACUGAAAUAUGUUAUUCCUGAUGACAAAUAUGUUAAAGUAAUUGAUUUCUGUUCAGGUAAUUACUAGAGGAGGGUAGACAGUACAUUGGCUGAUAAGCAAUAUACAUACAUUAGAAUGCCUAAAAGGAUUUAAAGUGGUUUAGGAUUGAUAUUGUUAUAACAUAUGUAGGAUUAUUUAGUUAUCUGCAGAUCCAUUUAGCUCUGUCCUAAGUAAAAGACUUAAACAAAAAACACUAUUGCUACAAAUAAUGAAACGAUGACUUUUUAGGGAUGAAUGUUUUAGUGCCAAUUAGAUGGAGGAUUAUACAAAAGGAUUGAGUUGAGAAAUUACAAAAUAGAAAGGACUGAAAAAAUUAGGCAUGCCUUUAACAAGAAAUGUAAGAUGAUAAAUAAGAAAUUGUAUUUUCAUUAAAGGAAAUAAUAUAGUAGUUCUAAUAUAGUAGUUUUAGCAUAGAGUCACAACCUCAAUUAGAUGAUUACAAGUUAAACAACAAACUAGUCUCUAUGAACAAUAUAUGUAGCAUCAGAGUGAAAAAAGAAAGAUAAGAUUUUUGUAAUACAUACGAAGAACAGAUUGUUGAGUCAACAGCAUUUCUAAAUAUUGGCAUUAAAAAUGUAUAUGGUUUGUAUCAAGGGUGAAGUGGUGAGGAAAAUUAAGCAGCAAAGAUAGUGGUCUCCUUAUUUUAUUAUAGUGAUUAGUGAAUUGUUAUACACAUGUGACUUUUGUGCAGAGUAGAAGGUGAGUAAAGGAACAGCAAUAUACAUAAGAGGGUUAUUCAAUAACUUGAUUGUGGAUGUUGUGUUGCGUUAUGAUAAAACUUUUUAGGGCAAGAGAUACAAGCUUUUCGAAAACCACAGGUGUGGUAGAUGAGUGAAGGUGAUUCCAGAAGCAAAGUAGGAAAGAAGGAAUAGUUAUUACAUUUAAGACACAAGAAGUAAGUCCCAUAUUUGGAAUUCAUUUAUAAAGGAAUUAAGAGUAAUUGAGGUUAAUUAAAUUAAAUAAAUUAAAAAUAAUUAAGUAGAUAAAUAGGUGGAUAUGUGAUUCAGUGAAUAAAUAGAUAAAUAAAUUAAUUGAUAAGGAGUUAAACAAGCAUUGGAAAUCAAGAAAAUUGAGCAAUUAUCAUACACAACUGUAAGAAAUGGCUGAAAGAGCUGAAGAUGAUCCAUCAAGGCCAGAGCUUAACAAGAUAUGUGGAAAUAACUAACGCUGCAUGAAGUGCUAUUGGGUCGACCCUUGCAUGUAAUCUUGCACAUAACCUUGCAUGUAAUCUUGCAUUUAACCUUGCAUAUAACCUAAACUCGUGGAAUGUUUGGAGAACAAUUCUAAUGCAUUGGAAAGAAUAAGUUUGGUCUUUUAUGAAGAAACUAAUUGCCAUGUGCAAAGCGAUAUCUGUACAGGAAACCAGAAAGUAGCAGAAGCAGGAGAUUAUUCCGAUGAUCGAGUAUAUCUGAGGUGCUCUGGAGAAAGUGGAGUGAAGUCAGGAGAAAAGGACCUUAUGACAAGGUUGCCAAAGGGGAUGCCAUCAACUGGGUACCAUCUGAACCACUGCAAAAGGGCGCCAAAGGAAAAAACUACAGGAAGAGAAAGCUAGUGGGAAACAGAGGAACCAGAAAAUCCUGAAGCUCAAUGAAGUGCAAAGUGUGGCAGGAGGAGUUUAUCAGAAAAGUUAAAAGAGUGAUUCUGAUAAUAUGCCUGAGUAAGAAAUACAGAAGGUGCCACAACUUCAGGCUACAGACUCUCAACAUAAAGUCUCUAUCAACAUCUUUUCAGGCCAGAAUGAAAGAAAGAAACAAACAAUUCAAUCGCAAGAGUAAAUCAGACUGUGAUUAAGAAAGUAGAGUGCUAAAUAUUUUGAUAGUUUAGAUAAAGAAGAGGAUGAUGAAGAGGAUCCAUGCCUUGGGUGUAAGUGCUAGAGAACCUCUACCCCAAAAUGGCGGCUCUCUACGAUGCGCAAAGUAUCUGGGCUGAAGAUCAACUUAUUCUACUUAUUAUGUGUGUUGUUGGUGGAGUAGAAUAGUGUGUAGUGAACAUGUAUUAUGAUUAUGUAUGGUUAUUCUUUGAUUCUUUGAAAUAACUGUGACCCCCACAAGCAUAUGUAUAACCUGAUGCACGCUCAUGCUUAAAACACUACUAUACUAUAUCCUUUGAUAUAAGAGCAAAAUAGAAUCAAGUCUUUUACUGUGUUCUUGUCAAGACCGGAUGCAGAUGUUUGGCUUGGUUUUAUUCCAAAGUGCGAUUCCAUGAUCUGGUCAUUUGUAAUAAUACAGUGACAUAUAUUUGUCAUUAGGUAGUAGAACUUAGGGCUGAAUUAUGAAGUUGCACUAUGGGUAAAGACAAUUAAGGUGUGGCUCUAAUAAGCCACAGAGGAGGGAAAUGAAGAAGAUUUUUAUGUACUAAACCUAUAUGAAGACACAUUUAACUGGGUGAGUGGAGGGCCCUACGAAUCUGCCAUUAUAUAUCUUUGAAAACAGGUGAUAGGUUAAGGCAAAGGGGUCAUAAAAGAGCAUGAGAGAGGACUUGAGGAUGCAAUGAGAACCAUCUGUGUCAGAAAGGCAUGAAAUGUAUACAACACAUGUUGAAACUGUCAUGUAUAUUUAAAAAGACACAUACUGUAUGGGAGAGAAGAGUCCAGUUUAGAUGUUUGAAACAUAGAUACUAGUCAUGAUUACCAAAUGUGAACUGUAUGUGGAAAAACGGUGAUGAUUAUAUUAGAUCUGUAAAUUAUAAGGGCCAACAAGAAGAGGGGUCUUUAAAUAGGGGUCGUAAAAGAGUAGGAGCUGGGAGAGGCCUGUUGAACCAGUAAACAGCUGUGAAAACACAAAGGUGGGAGGAAGCAAGGAUAAAGGGGAUAGCAAAUUUGAGGGACACUGGAUUUGUCCUGGAGUGAGACUAGAGAUGGGUCUGCUCCAGGCUGUCUCUGCUUUUUUGGGAAAUAUUCCAAUAAAGUAUAUUCUUCUGAUAUUCAUAA